CGCACAUUGCGCCCCCUGGUAUUCCGAGGGGCAUGCCUGUUCGAGCGUCAUUACAACUCUCAAGCCUGGCUUGGUAUUGGGCUUCGUCACUUAUUUGGCGGGCCUUAAAAUCAGUGGCAGUGUCGUCGGGGCCCUGAGCGUAGUAAAUUCCCUCGCUACAGAGACCUCGCGACUACUAGCCAUCAACCCCCAACUUUCCAAGUUUGACCUCGGAUCAGGUAGGGAUACCCGCUGAACUUAA
rnacentral:misc_RNA from 1 species